UAGGGAAUCUUCGGCAAUGGACGAAAGUCUGACCGAGCAACGCCGCGUGAGUGAAGAAGGUUUUCGGAUCGUAAAACUCUGUUGUUAGAGAAGAACAAGGAUGAGAGUAGAAUGUUCAUCCCUUGACGGUAUCUAACCAGAAAGCCACGGCUAACUACGUGCCAGCAGCCGCGGUAAUACGUAGGUGGCAAGCGUUGUCCGGAUUUAUUGGGCGUAAAGCGAGCGCAGGCGGUUUCUUAAGUCUGAUGUGAAAGCCCCCGGAUCAACCGGGGAGUGUGAUUGGAAACUGGCAAACUUGAGUGCACAAGAGGAGAGUGGAAUUCCAUGUGUAGCGGUGAAAUGCGUAGAUAUAUGGAGAAGCACCAGUGGCGAAGGCGUCUCUCUGGUCAGUAUAUGACGCUGAGGCUCGAAAGCGUGGGGAGCAAACAGG
rnacentral:rRNA from 1 species